rnacentral:rRNA from 1 species
AUUGAACGCUGGCGGCAUGCUUUACACAUGCAAGUCGAACGAGUGGCGGACGGGUGAGUAAUGCCUCGGAACGUACCUGAUGAAGGGGGAUAAAUAUCGGAAAGGACAGCUAAUACCGCAUACUAUUAGAUGUGCCGAGUUCGGAUUAGCUGGUUGGUGGGGUAAAGGCCCACCAAGGCGACGAUCAGUAGCGGGUCUGAUAGGAUGACCCGCCACACUGGGACUGAGACACGGCCCAGACUCCUACGGGAGGCAGCAGUGGGGAAUUUUGGACAAUGGGCGCAAGCCUGAUCCAGCCAUGCCGCGUGUCUGAAGAAGGCCUUCGGGUUGUAAAGGACUUUUGUCAGGGAAGCGGUACCUGAAGAAGAAGCACCGGCUAACUACGUGCCAGCAGCCGCGGUAAUUC